UCCUCAGUGGCUCAGUGGUAAAGUACCUGCCUGCCAAGCAGGAGACACAGAUUUGAUCCCUGGGUCAGGAA
rnacentral:tRNA from 1 species